rnacentral:rRNA from 1 species
AUUGAAUGCUGGCGGCAGGCCUAACACAUGCAAGUCGAGCGAGCGGCGGACGGGUGAGUAAUGUAUGGGGACUGCCCGAUAGAGGGGGAUAACUACUGGAAACGGUGGCUAAUACCGCAUACUAUCGGAUAACCCAUAUGGGAUUAGCUAGUAGGAGGGGUAAAGGCUCACCUAGGCGACGAUCUCUAGCUGGUCUGAGAGGAUGAUCAGCCACGCUGGAACUGAGACACGGACCAUAGUCCUACGGAGCCGGAUGUGGGGAAUAUUGCACAACGAGCGCAAGCCUAAUGCAGCCAUGCCGCGUAGAUAGGAAAGGCCUUGGGGUUGUAAAGUACGUUAAGCGGGUAUACGGUACCCGCAGAAGAAGCACCGGCUAACUACGUGCCAGCAGAAGCGGUAAUUC